UUCUCUGUUACCCUAGGACUGAGGCAGACUACCUAGCCUAUAGUUGCCUUUCAUCCUUUCCAUUGUCAGAAAAAAAAAUGGAUUUUAAGGAAGAACAAACAGGAGCUUCUCUGUUUUGCAGGCACCAAGACUGGCUGAUGAGAUCUUUGGAUGCAAAUCAAUAGUGCUACCUCAGUGAGGUGCCUGUAUCCUAAGAAUGCAGAGAAAAUCGAGAAAGUGAGAGCACUGAAGCACAGUCUCAUUUGUCUGUGCCCAUCUUCUCAGAUGGCCAAAGGUUCUCAGCCAGCACCCACAGGCGUGAGCACAUGCAGUAAUGUCCCAUCUGAACAGGAAGGAGAGGCCACGGGGCUCGCUGAUACACCAGGGAACUUUGAUUUCACUGGCAGAUGCUAAUUUGUGCUGCAUUGUCUUUACUUCAGAUAUACAGUAGCUCAGAUCAUGCUGGAUGCAACACACCAUGCUGCUGUUUCAGUAUGGGGAUGACAGACCAUCUUUAUCAGCUCUCUUGCGGUUUGAACUCUUUUCACUAGUGUCUAAGCUGCCAUUCCACUCAACUGUGAUGACUGGUAAGGGGAAGAGGAAAAGGCAAAAAAUAAAUAAAUAAAGCAAAAACUACA
rnacentral:lncRNA from 1 species